GAUGAACGCUGGCGGCGUGCUUAACACAUGCAAGUCGAACGAUGAAGCCCAGCUUGCUGGGUGGAUUAGUGGCGAACGGGUGAGUAACACGUGAGUAACCUGCCCUUAACUCUGGGAUAAGCCUGGGAAACUGGGUCUAAUACCGGAUAGGAGCGUCCACCGCAUGGUGGGUGUUGGAAAGAUUUAUCGGUUUUGGAUGGACUCGCGGCCUAUCAGCUUGUUGGUGAGGUAAUGGCUCACCAAGGCGACGACGGGUAGCCGGCCUGAGAGGGUGACCGGCCACACUGGGACUGAGACACGGCCCAGACUCCUACGGGAGGCAGCAGUGGGGAAUAUUGCAAAAUGGGCGAAAGCCUGAUGCAGCGACGCCGCGUGAGGGAUGACGGCCUUCGGGUUGUAAACCUCUUUCAGUAGGGAAGAAGCGAAAGUGACGGUACCUGCAGAAGAAGCACCGGCUAACUACGUG
rnacentral:rRNA from 1 species